AAAUAGACUCAUUAUAUACUGUUUUGUAUGUAGCUCAGCAUAUAUUUCUGAGUCAUCCAUGUAGAUGAGUAUAUUGUAACUUCAUUUUAGUACAGAGUAUUUCAUUGUAUUAGCAUACUACAAUUUUUUGUCCAUUUUCUCAGUGACAGACACUUAGUUUCUAGUAUUGAGCUAUUAUAAGUAAAGCCACCAAGGAAUUUUGUUAUUCUCUUGUCUUGUCUCAUCUCUGCGGUGAUGGAGACUGAAUCCAGGGCCUCACAGAUGCUCAGCAGGGUCACUGCCACUAAGCAACACUCACAGUCUCAGCUACUGCAGAUCUUCUUGUGUGUCUCUUUGUGGACAUGAUUGUUUGUAUUUCCUUGAACAAAUACCUGAAGAACACAAUUGCUAAGUCAGAUAUACAUUUAACCUUUUUUAUUUGUAGCCAGGCUGGCCUCAAGCUUAUUGUAUAGUUAAGGAUGACCUUGUCUUUCUAAUCCUCUUGCCUCCACUACCUAAAUACUAGAAUUAUAGGUAUGUACUUUAUAUAGUGCCAGAAAUCAAACCCAGAACUUUGUGCAUGUGAAGCAAUCAUCCUGUCAAUUGAACUACAUCCCAUCUAUUUUAAUUUUUUUUUUUCUUAAAUUUACAACUUGAAUUUUAGAGACAAGUUCUCACCCUGUAACCCAGGCUGGCCUAAUACUCAAGUUGACAUCAAAUUUGAAGCAGUCUGCCUACUUCGGCCUCCAAAGUGCUGGAAUUACAGACAGGAUUUUCUUGUAUAGCCCUGUCCUGGAACUUACUCCGUAGACCAGGAUGGCCUUGAAACUCAAGAGAUGAUCCUGCCCCUGCCUCACUGGUGCUGGGAUUAAAGGCAACCAAGCCUUGUUGAAAUGAACUUUUCAAGGACCAGAGAGGCCAGUGACUCAGCAGAUGAAGUGUUUGUCAUCAAAUCUGAUGACCUGAGUUUGAUCCCUGAGACCUACAUGGUAGAGGACAGAACCAGCUCUGACCACCACACAUGCAUGUGUUCAUGCAAACACAAUACAUAAGUAAAUAAAUAAAUGUAAUAAAAAUAUUUGAAAAACAUAAA